UGGGGAAUAUUGCACAAUGGGCGCAAGCCUGAUGCAGCCAUGCCGCGUGUGUGAAGAAGGCCUUCGGGUUGUAAAGCACUUUCAGCGGGGAGGAAGGCGUUAAGGUUAAUAACCUUGGCGAUUGACGUUACCCGCAGAAGAAGCACCGGCUAACUCCGUGCCAGCAGCCGCGGUAAUACGGAGGGUGCAAGCGUUAAUCGGAAUUACUGGGCGUAAAGCGCACGCAGGCGGUUUGUUAAGUCAGAUGUGAAAUCCCCGGGCUCAACCUGGGAACUGCAUCUGAGACUGGCAAGCUUGAGUCUCGUAGAGGGGGGUAGAAUACCAGGUGUAGCGGUGAGAUGCGUAGAGAUCUGGGGGAAUACCGGUGGCGAAGGCGGCCCCCUGGACGAAGACUGCCGCUCAGGUGCGAAAGCGUGGGGAGCAAACAGG
rnacentral:rRNA from 1 species